rnacentral:rRNA from 1 species
GUGGGGAAUAUUGGACAAUGGGCGAAAGCCUGAUCCAGCAAUGCCGCGUGAGUGAUGAAGGCCCUAGGGUUGUAAAGCUCUUUUACCCGGGAUGAUAAUGACAGUACCGGGAGAAUAAGCUCCGGCUAACUUCGUGCCAGCAGCCGCGGUAAUACGAGGGGAGCUAGCGUUGUUCGGAAUUACUGGGCGUAAAGCGCGCGUAGGCGGUUUUUUAAGUCAGAGGUGAAAGCCCGGGGCUCAACCCCGGAAUAGCCUUUGAAACUGGAAAACUAGAAUCUUGGAGAGGUCAGUGGAAUUCCGAGUGUAGAGGUGAAAUUCGUAGAUAUUCGGAAGAACACCAGUGGCGAAGGCGACUGACUGGACAAGUAUUGACGCUGAGGUGCGAAAGCGUGGGGAGCAAACAGGAUUAGAAACCCGGGUAGUCC